rnacentral:lncRNA from 1 species
UAGCCGAAAUCUGGAUCUUACAAAUAGAAAAGCUCUUCUCUGUCCUAUAUCUGCUCGAAGAACAAAAGUUUCUCUUGCAGCUCUCAUGUUAGACAGUGAAGGAGAACACUAGUGGCGACUUAAGAAGGAAGUCAUGCCUACCCCUACUACUUGGGAAGUUUUCAUAGAUGCUUUCUUUGAUAACUUUUUCCUUGCCUAUGUUCACGAAAAGAAAGAGGAGGAAUUUCAGGACCUUCACCAAGGAAG